rnacentral:rRNA from 1 species
CACCCUGAUCGUAUCUAGGUUCUAACCUGGUACCGUAAUCCGGUGCGGGGACAGUGUCAGGUGGGCAGUUUGACUGGGGCGGUCGCCUCCUAAAGAGUAACGGAGGCGCCCAAAGGUUCCCUCAGAAUGGUUGGAAAUCAUUCGAAGAGUGCAAAGGCAUAAGGGAGCUUGACUGCGAGACCUACAAGUCGAGCAGGGACGAAAGUCGGGCUUAGUGAUCCGGUGGUACCGCAUGGAAGGGCCAUCGCUCAACGGAUAAAAGCUACCCUGGGGAUAACAGGCUUAUCUCCCCCAAGAGUCCACAUCGACGGGGAGGUUUGGCACCUCGAUGUCGGCUCAUCGCAUCCUGGGGCUGAAGUAGGUCCCAAGGGUUGGGCUGUUCGCCCAUUAAAGCGGUACGCGAGCUGGGUUCAGAACGUCGUGAGACAGUUCGGUCCCUAUCUGUCGUGGGCGUAGGAAAUUUGAGAGGAGCUGUCCUUAGUACGAGAGGACCGGGAUGGACGUACCGCUGGUGUACCAGUUGUUCCGCCAGGAGCACCGCUGGGUAGCUAUGUACGGAAGGGAUAAGCGCUGAAAGCAUCUAAGCGUGAAGCCCCCCUCAAGAUGAGAUUUCCCAGUAUGUAAGACCCCUUGAAGACGACGAGGUAGAUAGGCUGGGGGUGGAAGUGCAGUAAUGCAUGGAGCUGACCAGUAC